GGGGCUAUAGCUCAGUUGGUAGAGCGUUUCUUUCGCAUAGAAAAGGUCGCCGGUUCAAUUCCGACUAGCUCCA
rnacentral:tRNA from 1 species